GUGGGGAAUAUUGGGCAAUGGGGGGAACCCUGAUCCAGCCAUGCCGCGUGUGUGAAGAAGGCCUUUUGGUUGUAAAGCACUUUAAGCGAGGAGGAGGCUACCGAGAUUAAUACUCUUGGAUAGUGGACGUUACUCGCAGAAUAAGCACCGGCUAACUCUGUGCCAGCAGCCGCGGUAAUACAGAGGGUGCAAGCGUUAAUCGGAUUUACUGGGCGCAAAGCGCGCGUAGGUGGCCAAUUAAGUCAAAUGUGAAAUCCCCGAGCUUAACUUGGGAAUUGCAAUCGAUACUGGUUGGCUAGAGUAUGGGAGAGGAUGGUAGAAUUCCAGGUGUAGCGGUGAAAUGCGUAGAGAUCUGGAGGAAUACCGAUGGCGAAGGCAGCCAUCUGGCCUAAUACUGACACUGAGGUGCGAAAGCAUGGGGAGCAAACAGGAUUAGAAACCCCUGUAGUCC
rnacentral:rRNA from 1 species